AGCAGGGACUUUGGAGUGACUUGUGGCUUCAGCAGGAGCCCUGUGAUUUGGCUCUUCUGAUCUCGCCCUGCGAUGGUGUCUUUGCCUCGGCUGUGCGCGCUAUGGGGCUGCUUGUUGACAGCGGUCCAUCUAGGGCAGUGUGUUACGUGCAGUGACAAACAGUACCUCCACGAUGGCCAGUGCUGUGAUUUGUGCCAGCCAGGAAGCCGACUGACAAGCCACUGCACAGCUCUUGAGAAGACCCAAUGCCACCCAUGUGACUCAGGCGAAUUCUCAGCCCAGUGGAACAGGGAGAUUCGCUGUCACCAGCACAGACACUGUGAACCCAAUCAAGGGCUUCGGGUUAAGAAGGAGGGCACCGCAGAAUCAGACACUGUCUGUACCUGUAAGGAAGGACAACACUGCACCAGCAAGGAUUGCGAGGCAUGUGCUCAGCACACGCCCUGUAUCCCUGGCUUUGGAGUUAUGGAGAUGGCCACUGAGACCACUGAUACCGUCUGUCAUCCCUGCCCAGUCGGCUUCUUCUCCAAUCAGUCAUCACUUUUCGAAAAGUGUUAUCCCUGGACAAGCUGUGAGGAUAAGAACUUGGAGGUCCUACAGAAAGGAACGAGUCAGACUAAUGUCAUCUGUGGUUUAAAGUCCCGGAUGCGAGCCCUGCUGGUCAUUCCUGUCGUGAUGGGCAUCCUCAUCACCAUUUUCGGGGUGUUUCUCUAUAUCAGUGAGUGCUCAGGAGAGGAAAGGGAGGGAGGGUUCAGCCCUGUCGAACCAGCCUCCUGACUCACCCUCGCAAUGUCCCACACCCCUUCUUCUUCUCACUAGAAAAGGUGGUCAAGAAACCAAAGGAUAAUGAGAUCUUACCCCCUGCGGCUCGACGGCAAGAUCCCCAGGAGAUGGAAGAUUAUCCCGGUCAUAACACCGCUGCUCCAGUGCAGGAGACGCUGCACGGGUGUCAGCCUGUCACACAGGAGGAUGGUAAAGAGAGUCGCAUCUCAGUGCAGGAGCGGCAGGUGACAGACAGCAUAGCCUUGAGGCCCCUGGUCUGAACCCUGGAACUGCUUUGGAGGCGAUGGCUCGGCUCGGGAGCAGGGGCCUGGCUCUGAGGACUGCUUGCUGACCUUUGAAGUUUGAGAUGAGCCAAGACAGAGCCCAGUGCAGCUAACUCUCAUGCCUGCCCCCUAUCAUUUCUCAACUUGCUUUUUAAGGAUGGAGGGAGAGCUCGGGCAUCGGGGGUCCACAGUGAUACCUACCAAGUGCAGCAGUGCAGGACCCAGAGUCGUCUUGCUGCGGCGUUCACUGUAAGGAGUCAUGGACACAGGAGUCCGUGGCCCACAGCUUGUGCUGCUAGAGGGCACCUGGUUGCCCAUCAGCAGGGUACUGGCUAAAUAAAUCUGUAAUUAUUUAUACAAUGACAUCUCAGAAACUCUAGCAGGUGGGGCAGAAAACAGGUAGUAGAAUGAUGGGUAGAGAAAUAGCUUUUAAAACACAUUCCAAGGCAGGUAAGAUGGCUUUUGUGAGUAAAGGAGCUUGCUGCCCAAACCCGGUUACCUGAUUUUGAUCCCUGGGACUUCAUGGUAAAAGGGAGAGAACCAAAUCCAGAGGGUUGUCAUUUGACCUCCAUGUGUGCUCUGUGGUAAUGUACCCCGUGUGUGCACAUGUGCACAUAUCCUAAAAUGGAUGUGGUGGUGUAUUGUAGAAAUUAUUUAAUCCCGCCCUGGGGUUUCUACCUGUGUGUUACCAUUUAGUUCUUGAAUAAAAGACACACUCAACCUUUAUAUUUACAAUAA